rnacentral:rRNA from 1 species
CCUACGGGAUGCAGCAGUGAGGAAUAUUGGUCAAUGGACGAGAGUCUGAACCAGCCAAGUAGCGUGAAGGAUGACUGCCCUAUGGGUUGUAAACUUCUUUUAUAUGGGAAUAAAACGUUCCCCGUGUGGGAUUUUGUAUGUACCAUAUGAAUAAGGAUCGGCUAACUCCGUGCCAGCAGCCGCGGUAAUACGGAGGAUCCGAGCGUUAUCCGGAUUUAUUGGGUUUAAAGGGAGCGUAGGUGGAUUGUUAAGUCAGUUGUGAAAGUUUGCGGCUCAACCGUAAAAUUGCAGUUGAAACUGGCAGUCUUGAGUACAGUAGAGGUGGGCGGAAUUCGUGGUGUAGCGGUGAAAUGCUUAGAUAUCACGAAGAACUCCGAUUGCGAAGGCAGUUCACUGGACUGCAACUGACACUGAGGCUCGAAAGUGUGGGUAUCAAACAGGAUUAGAUACCCGAGUAGUC